rnacentral:rRNA from 1 species
GAUGAACGCUAGCGGCAGGCUUAAUACAUGCAAGUCGAGGGGCAGCAAGGGUAGCAAUACCUGUUGGCGACCGGCAAACGGGUGCGGAACACGUACAGAACCUUCCUUUAAGCGGGGGAUAGCCCAUAGAAAUGUGGAUUAAUACCCCAUAGUAAUAUUGUCUGGCAUCAGAUGGUAUUUAAAGAUUUAUCACUUAAAGAUGGCUGUGCGGCUGAUUAGGUAGUUGGUUGGGUAACGGCCCACCAAGCCAGCGAUCAGUAACUGGUGUGAGAGCACGACCAGUCACACGGGCACUGAGACACGGGCCCGACUCCUACGGGAGGCAGCAGUAAGGAAUAUUGGUCAAUGGACGCAAGUCUGAACCAGCCAUGCCGCGUGAAGGAUGAAGG